AUCCUGGGGGGUUCUGAGGGGUCCUGGGAGUUCCUGGAGGGUCCUGGGAAAGGAACCAGCAGUCUACAAUCUGCCAAUGCAGAGGCACAGUGAGAUGCUGGCUGGGGGUGGGUUGGAACUCAGCUCAGGGAUGAUUUAGGGUAAGGAGAAUAUUGCCUCUGUGUGGGAGAGUUUGAUAAGGAGUGAUUGCGGGCAUGAACUCUAGAGGGGUUCAUUUGUACGAGAAAAGCAGUGAAAGCAAAAAGUGAAAAGCACGCUCCCAGCUAAGCCUUUGCAAUCUCAAAGAAGGAACAGCUCUGGAAAGGCUGAAUCGCUAUGAGCCUUGAGGAAGAAUUAUAGACUUCCUUGAGGAUGGGAAGCAAAGAAAUGCACCAGGGGUAAUUACAUCCUGCCUCCUUCAGCGUCGCUCAGGGUUGCAAACUGGAUGCAGACUCUUUUUCUCCCAGCAUGCCCCUCUGCUCCGUGCAUUCAACACCUGCAGGAAUUAAAGUCUACAUCUGUGUCAGGAGGGCACUCAGACUAUUCGCUGCCUGAGACAACCGGGGAAAUCAACCCGCUUCAAGGAGGAAGGCUUGUGACAUAGCUGCUCUCUCCAGCAUGGCUUGCAGGCUGAGCGGAGUUUACAGGACGACUGUUGGAUGUCUGAAGUAGACUGAAGGAAGUCUGAGUCUGGGCCAUUUGGGAGGGAACGUGAUGGAAAUAUUUGCCCUGGGCUUGGAGAACCUAUUUGUUUUGACGACUGCUGCUGCUGCUGCUAUUUUCCUUAAAGUGGAAGAUAGCAGGACUGGAAGAAUGGGAGGCCCUGUCCUUUGGGUCCCGCCUUCUUGCACAUGUGCAAGAGAAGAGACGCACGUUGUAUAUUAGCUGUGCCUCGGACAAUAGAAAAGCCAUCCUCAGUGCCCUUCCUCCACUCAGCUAAAGAAAGCGUUCAUCUCCAUAACUCUCAAUCAAAUUCUUAAAAACUGUGGAGCUAGAAAAGACAUUUUCCCUUAUUCCACUGGAUAUGUUUAAUAUUGACAAAGAGAAAGACAAGACACUUGUGACUUAACAAAGUUCUACAUAAACGUGUACAACUGUAUCUACUAGAUUUUCACCUUAGUUUGAAUUUUGAUCUUCCUCAUUACAAUACAGACUUUUCUGCGAAGAAUUGUCUACAAAACCCUAGUAAAUUCUAAUAAAACAAAAUGCCUAUAAAAU